rnacentral:rRNA from 1 species
AGCGAACGCUGGCGGCAGGCCUAAUACAUGCAAGUCGAACGGCUCUUCGGAGCAGUGGCGGACGGGUGAGUAACACGUGGGAACGUGCCCUGUGGUACGGAACAGCUGAGGGAAACUUCAGCUAAUACCGUAUGUGCCCCCAUUCUUAGCGGGAUGGGUGGGAAAGAUUUAUCGCCAUUGGAGCGGCCCGCGUUGGAUUAGCUAGUUGGUGGGGUAAGGGCCCACCAAGGCUACGAUCCAUAGCUGGUCUGAGAGGAUGAUCAGCCACACUGGGACUGAGACCCUGCCCAUACUCCUCCGGGAGGCAGCAGUAGGGAAUCUUGCGCAAUGGGCGAAAGCCUGACGCAGCCAUGCCGCGUGAAUGAUGAAGGUCUUAGGAUUGUAAAAUUCUUUCACCGGGGAAGAUAAUGACGGUACCCGGAGAAGAAGCCCCGGCUAACUUCGUGCCAGCAGCCGCAGUAA